rnacentral:rRNA from 1 species
UUGCGGACAGUGUCUGGUGGGUAGUUUGACUGGGGCGGUCUCCUCCUAAAGAGUAACGGAGGAGCACGAAGGUUGGCUAAUCCUGGUCGGACAUCAGGAGGUUAGUGCAAUGGCAUAAGCCAGCUUGACUGCGAGCGUGACGGCGCGAGCAGGUGCGAAAGCAGGUCAUAGUGAUCCGGUGGUUCUGAAUGGAAGGGCCAUCGCUCAACGGAUAAAAGGUACUCCGGGGAUAACAGGCUGAUACCGCCCAAGAGUUCAUAUCGACGGCGGUGUUUGGCACCUCGAUGUCGGCUCAUCACAUCCUGGGGCUGAAGUAGGUCCCAAGGGUAUGGCUGUUCGCCAUUUAAAGUGGUACGCGAGCUGGGUUUAGAACGUCGUGAGACAGUUCGGUCCCUAUCUGCCGUGGGCGCUGGAGAACUGAGGGGGGCUGCUCCUAGUACGAGAGGACCGGAGUGGACGCAUCACUGGUGUUCGGGUUGUCAUGCCAAUGGCACUGCCCGGUAGCUAAAUGCGGAAGAGAUAAGUGCUGAAAGCAUCUAAGCACGAAACUUGCCCCGAGAUGAGUUCUCCCUGAGACUUAGAGUCUCCUGAAGGAACGUUGAAGACGACGACGUUGAUAGGCCGGGUGUGUAAGCGCAGCGAUGCGUUGAGCUAACCGGUACUAAUGAACCGUGAGGCUUAACCUUACAACGCCGAAG